rnacentral:rRNA from 1 species
GGGCGAGCCAAGUCGUGAGGCGGAGCUAAUCCCUUAAAGCCAUUCUCAGUUCGGAUUGUAGGCUGAAACUCGCCUACAUGAAGCUGGAGUUACUAGUAAUCGCAGAUCAGAAUGCUGCGGUGAAUGCGUUCCCGGGUCUUGUACACACCGCCCGUCACACCACGGAAGUUGGGGGCGCCCGAAGCCACUUAGCUAACCCUUUUGGGAAGCGAGUGUCGAAGGUGAAAUCAAUAACUGGGGUGAAGUCGUAACAAGGUACC